rnacentral:misc_RNA from 1 species
CGUCAGUUCUUGUGAAUACGCAGCACCGGAAACGCACAGAAGAGCGGCAAUCAAGAUGGCAUGUCGCAUGUGUAUGUUCCUUUCCGACUAUCGGUUGAUCAUGUGCGGCAGACAAAAUCUCCCGUCACGCCGCCGCUGUCUUGGGGAAACGACAAGUGGAGGUUCUUGCUUCUUGGUCAGGGAGCCGUUGUACUGAGACGACUUAAAAUCUUUGAUCGGACAACCG